rnacentral:rRNA from 1 species
GCUCCGGCUCUCCCCCUUCCCCCGUUGUGGAGACCGCCUGCUAACCCGUGAUUUUCUAGUGAACCUGCGGAAGGAUCAUUAACGAGGCCCGGCGCGCCCCCUCCAGGGCGCCCGCUCCCACCCCGUGUGUAUCGUUUCCAUCUCGGUUGCUUCGGCGGCCUCGCGGCCUUCGCCGGUCGCGUCCCGCCGAGGGCCCGUUCAAACUCUGUGUCAACCGUGGCGUCUGAGUACUAUGAUAAAUAGCUGAAAACUUUCAACAACGGAUCUCUUGGUUCUGGCAUCGAUGAAGAACGCAGCGAAAUGCGAUAAGUAAUGUGAAUUGCAGAAUUCAGUGAAUCAUCGAAUCUUUGAACGCACAUUGCGCCCCCUGGCAUUCCGGGGGGCAUGCCUGUUCGAGCGUCAUGACACCCCUCAAGCUCCGCUUGGUGUUGGGCCUGGGCCCGGGAGGGUCGGCCUGAAAGUUAGUGGCGGUGCGGCCGGACUUCGAGCGUAGUAAUCACAGUCGCUCCGGAAGUUCCGGCCGGGCUCGCCAAACAACAACACCGUAUUUUUUUACAAUUGACCUCGGAUCAGGUAGGGAUACCCGCUGAACUUAAGCAU